rnacentral:misc_RNA from 1 species
UUAAAUUCAGCGGGUAUCCUCACCUGAUCCGAUGUCAAUAUUUGGGACAUUCCAACCAGAUUUCCGCCAGCAGAAACCCUGGAAUAUCAUAUGGUUUUUGACUAGUUUUAGAAAAGCAUUCUUACCAACGAUUUAAUUAUUACUACGUUGGAACACCUAUCUGAACCGUCACUAACUUUAAAACUUCUGCCUAAAGCAGA